GAUGAACGCUGGCGGCGUGCCUAAUACAUGCAAGUCGAACGCUUCACUUCGGUGAAGAGUGGCGAACGGGUGAGUAAUACAUAAGUAACCUGGCAUCUACAGGGGGAUAACUGAUGGAAACGUCGGCUAAGACCGCAUAGGUGUAGAGAUCGCAUGAACUCUAUAUGAAAAGUGCUACGGGACUGGUAGAUGAUGGACUUAUGGCGCAUUAGCUGGUUGGUAGGGUAACGGCCUACCAAGGCGACGCUGCGUAGCCGACCUGGGAGGGUGACCGGCCACACUGGGACUGAGACACGGCCCAGACUCCUACGGGAGGCAGCAGUAGGGAAUUUUCGGCAAUGGGGGAAACCCUGACCGAGCAACGCCGCGUGAAGGAAGAAGUAAUUCGUUAUGUAAACUUCUGUCAUAGAGGAAGAACGGUGGAUAUAGGGAAUGAUAUCCAAGUGACAGUACUCUAUAAGAAAGCCACGGCUAACUGCGUGCCAGCCGCCGCUGUAA
rnacentral:rRNA from 1 species